GUGUAUAUCUCGUGGUGAGGGUACACGCCUUCAGUGUGUCACUGGCUGUUGCAAAUGAAGACUUCAGGGUGUGAGCUGCAAAGCUUUGGGCUCUUGCUGGAAACUCUGCUGCCCCCAGAGUUCCCAGCCCCUCUCAUGGACCCACCAGACCUGGGGUUGUGGGAUUACUUGAGUCCUCCUUGCCCCCAUCAGUCCCCAGAGAUGCCCCCCACAACAACACGCCCAGGAACCUGAGCCCAAACGCUCCCUUCCAUUUGCAGGUGACCCCAUGGGACCCUGGCUUCCUCCAAACCCAGACCCUGAAACCAUCCCGAGGUCCCUGGCGGUGGGUAGGGGAGGCUCUGGGGAGAGGUCCUGAGGCUUGACUCCCCUCUCUGUUCCCACCCGCAGCCCUGCAUCCUCAUGAAUAACACUCAACAGCUACGAGUUCAGCUGGAGAAGAUGUUCGAAGCAAUGGGAGGAAAGGAGCUGGAUGCCGAAGCCAGUGACAUCUUGAAGGAGCUUCAGGUGAAACUCAAUAACGUCUUGGACGAGCUCAGCCGGGUGUUUGCUACCAGCUUCCAGCCGCACAUUGAAGAGUGUGUCAAACAGAUGGGUGACAUCCUUAGCCAGGUUAAGGGCACAGGCAAUGUGCCAGCCAGUGCCUGCAGCAGUGUGGCCCAGGACGCUGACAAUGUGUUGCAGCCCAUCAUGGACCUGCUGGACAGCAAGUGAGCCGGGCCAGGUGGACUGGGCUGGCCAGGGAGGGGCUGGGGCAGGGCCAUAGAGACCCAGGGACUGGCUGGAGAGGGUGUGCAGGGAAUGUUUGCUGGGUGGUCACUGGAUAGUUGGAUGGCUGAGUAGAUGGUGGCAUGAAGGGGAUGGAAAGUUGGGUGUGUAAAUAAUUGGAAGGAUUAAUGAGUAAAUAUUUGUGUGGAUGAAUGACUGGUGGAUGAAUAGGUGACAUGAGGGAUGGGUAAGUGGGUGGACACAUGGAUUAAAAGAUAAAUGUUUAGAAGGCUAGAUGGAGGGUAGAUGUUUUAAAAAGAUGGAUGGGUGGAUAGUUGGGUAAAUAU
rnacentral:sRNA from 1 species